rnacentral:rRNA from 1 species
AUUGAACGCUGGCGGCACGCCUUACACAUGCAAGUCGAACGGUAACAGGUCUUCGGAUGCUGACGAGUGGCGAACGGGUGAGUAAUACAUCGGAACGUGCCUAGUAGUGGGGGAUAACUACUCGAAAGAGUGGCUAAUACCGCAUGAGAUCUACGGAUGAAAGCAGGGGAUCGCAAGACCUUGUGCUACUAGAGCGGCCGAUGGCAGAUUAGGUAGUUGGUGGGAUAAAAGCUUACCAAGCCGACGAUCUGUAGCUGGUCUGAGAGGACGAUCAGCCACACUGGGACUGAGACACGGCCCAGACUCCUACGGGAGGCAGCAGUGGGGAAUUUUGGAUAAUGGGCGCAAGCCUGAUCCAGCAAUGCCGCGUGCAGGAUGAAGGCCUUCGGGUUGUAAACUGCUUUUGUACGGAACGAAAAGCCCUGGGUUAAUACCCUGGGGUCAUGACGGUACCGUAAGAAUAAGCACCGGCUAACUACGUGCCAGCAGCCGCAGUAA